rnacentral:lncRNA from 8 species
AUGUUUCUCUGUCUGACUUUUUUUGUGUGUGUGUGUGUGUGUCUGUCUGUACAAUCUAUCUUCUGUCUCUUUUUCUGUCUGUCUGUCUGUCUGUCUGUAUCUUUAUUUUUCUUUCUGAUCCUUUGUUCAGUUAUCAGUUGGUCUGUCUCUCUGGUCAGUUGGUCUGUCUCUCUGGUCAGUUGGUCUGUCUCUCUGGUCAGUUGGUCUGUCUCUCUGGUCAGUUGUCAGUUGGUCUGUCUCUCUGGUCAGUUGUCAGUUGAUCUGUCUCUCUGGUCAGUUGGUCUGUCUCUCUGGUCAGUUGUCAGUUGGUCUGUCUCUCUGGUCAGUUGGUCUGUCUCUCUGGUCAGUUGUCAGUUGGUCUGUCUCUCUGGUCAGUUGGUCUGUCUCUCUGGUCAGUUGGUCUGUCCCUCUGGUCAGUUGUCAGUUGGUCUGUCUCUCUGGUCAGUUGUCAGUUGGUCUGUCUCUCUGGUCAGUUGGUCUGUCCCUCUGGUCAGUUGUCAGUUGGUCUGUCUCUCUGGUCAGUUGUCAGUUGGUCUGUCUCUCUGGUCAGUUGGUCUGUCUCUCUGGUCAGUUGGUCUGUCUCUCUGGUCAGUUGUCAGUUGGUCUGUCUCUCUGGUCAGUUCGUCUGUCUCUCUGGUCAGUUGUCAGUUGGUCUGUCUCUCUGGUCAGUUGGUCUGUCCCUCUGGUCAGCUGUCAGUUGGUCUGUCUCUCUGGUCAGUUGGUCUGUCUCUCUGGUCAGUUGGUCUGUCCCUCUGGUCAGUUGUCAGUUGGUCUGUCUCUCUGGUCAGUUGGUCUGUCUCUCUGGUCAGUUGUCAGUUGGUCUGUCUCUCUGGUCAGUUGAUCUGUCUCUCUGGUCAGUUGGUCUGUCUCUCUGGUCAGUUGGUCUGUCUCUCUGGUCAGUUGUCAGUUGGUCUGUCUCUCUGGUCAGUUGAUCUGUCUCUCUGGUCAGUUGAUCUGUCUCUCUGGUCAGUUGGUCCGUCUCUCUGGUCAGUUGUCAGUUGGUCUGUCUCUCUGGUCAGUUGGUCUGUCUCUCUGGUCAGUUGUCAGUUGGUCUGUCUCUCUGGUCAGUUGGUCAGUCUUUCUGGUCAGUUGUCAGUUGGUCUGUCUCUCUGGUCAGUUGGUCUGUCUCUCUGGUCAGUUGGUCUGUCUCUCUGGUCAGUUGUCAGGUGGUCUGUCUCUCUGGUCAGUUGGUCUGUCUCUCUGGUCAGUUGUCAGGUGGUCUGUCUCUCUGGUCAGUUGGUCUGUCUCUCUGGUCAGUUGUCAGGUGGUCUGUCUCUCUGGUCAGUUGGUCUGUCUCUCUGGUCAGUUGUCAGUUGGUCUGUCUCUCUGGUCAGUUAUCAGUUGGUCUGUCCCUCUGGUCAGUUGGUCUGUCUCUCUGGUCAGUUGGUCUGUCUCUCUGGUCAGUUGGUCUGUCUCUCUGGUCAGUUGGUCUGUCUCUCUGGUCAGUUGUCAGUUGGUCUGUCCCUCUGGUCAGUUGGUCUGUCUCUCUGGUCAGUUGGUCUGUCUCUCUGGUCAGUUGGUCUGUCUCUCUGGUCAGUUGUUAGUUGGUCUGUCUCUCUGGUCAGUUGA